rnacentral:rRNA from 1 species
UGGGGAAUAUUGGACAAUGGGCGAAAGCCUGAUCCAGCCAUGCCGCGUGUGUGAAGAAGGUCUUCGGAUUGUAAAGCACUUUAAGUUGGGAGGAAGGGCAUUAACCUAAUACGUUAGUGUUUUGACGUUACCGACAGAAUAAGCACCGGCUAACUCUGUGCCAGCAGCCGCGGUAAUACAGAGGGUGCAAGCGUUAAUCGGAAUUACUGGGCGUAAAGCGCGCGUAGGUGGUUUGUUGAGUUGGAUGUGAAAUCCCCGGGCUCAACCUGGGAACUGCAUUCAAAACUGACUGACUAGAGUAUGGUAGAGGGUGGUGGAAUUUCCUGUGUAGCGGUGAAAUGCGUAGAUAUAGGAAGGAACACCAGUGGCGAAGGCGACCACCUGGACUAAUACUGACACUGAGGUGCGAAAGCGUGGGGAGCAAACA